AUUAGUACCACCUGGGGAGCUAUUGGGAGAUGCCCAGGUCAUGCAUGGGCACCAACUCAGACCAAUUAAAUCAGGAACUCUGGGAGGGGGAUCCAAGCAUCAGAAUGGUUUGAUGCUCCCUAGGUAAUUACAAUAGGCAGCAAAGGCUGAGAACCACUUAGCAUAACCUGCAGUUAUAGUUCUCACAUGUGGUUGUUCCCCAUGAUAAAAACUUUAAAUUUUAACUCUAAUGUAUUUGGAAGCAACCUUAUCUGCUUGUAUCUCACAGGGAUCACUGGAUACUGCAAGGCAAUAUAGAUGGUAGACGGGCAAGAGUGGAAGCAUCUCUCCAAUUUGAAGAAGAUGGCAAAACGUUGCCCUUGCAUAACAUCAGAAGAUCCCUAAUGUCUGCCUUGAAGAGCUCUCGACAAUAGCAGCAAUGAACUACAGACUGUUGUGGCUGUUCUAGGCAGUUUGUUUUUCCAUAUUGAAACAAAGAAACUUGCUGAGAUUUUUAUUGUAAUUACUUUGUCUGCAUAUUGAUUUGGAAUUAACUUUGGAAUAAUAUUGGAUAUUACAAGCCAUGGGCACUAAGAAAACAAGCAAGCAAACAAGCAGAAAAUCCAGAAAAUGUUACAAUGUCAUUGCUACAUGAAGAGAAGAUCAAGAGAAUUCAGCCAGAAGACUGUAGAAACAAAGAUAUAACAGUUUUGGAUUAUUGCUUGCUCUUGAAAUGUGUUGUUUCAAAGGAACACAUUAUUUUGGACAUGCAAUCAGAUGAAACAUUAAAGGAGAGAAGCCUGAAGAACAAAGCAGCCACAGAUCAACAGGAGUAUAGUUUAUUAGAGGUUGGUUAGAGACUUUUUGCUAAUGAGCUGUACUGUCCAUAGGCAUCAUCAUGGGGUUCUCAAAUCUAAUGAUACCCAUGCCAUCAAUUCUGAGUAAAGUGGUUACAAAAGAAACUGAUAUUUAAUUUUUACUAUAAUAGAAAAUGGCAUGUAUAUGUGUCUUAAUUCAUUCAGUAGAUGCAACAUAGGGUAGUGGAAUGAUCACUUUCCUGUAUAAUUAAUUGUAAGAGCUAGAGUUCAUAUAAUCACUAAUUAUUAAAAUAAAAAUAUUCUAUCUCAAAAAUAGCAUUACCAUAGCUUUUGUGGCUUUCUAUUAAUGAGUUAUUUUCUCAAUUUUUAUAUGUUUCAAAUCUUCAAUAACAAUCAGAGCUGAAAUAAUAAACACUGGCUAUUAUUGUUCUAAUAAAUAAAAUGGUUAUUUUUGCAUAAUGAGUAAGAACGUAACCAUUGGAGUCAGACAGGAGGAGUUGCUUAUUUGAGUUAUGACAUUUACUGGCCAUGCUACCUCAAAGAAAUUAGACAUUCUGAACCUCAGCCUCUUUAUCCAUAAAAUAGAAUAAUAAUAGUAGCUACUUCUUGGGAUCACUGAUAGGGAUGGUAGGUUUAAAUGGCACAGUGAAUUCAAGAAAGUAUUUGGGACAAUGUCUGAUAAUUAGUAAAUGCUCCAGAGUCCUAGUAUUUUUUGUUAUUAUUAAAAAAAAUACUGUAACUCACAAUAGACAUUAAAGGAAAGAGCACACAACAUGAGGAUAAGUUUAACAAACAGUGAUAAAAAAGUCAAUACCAGUGUCAAGAAAAAGCACAGCUAGGUCAAGAAAGAGAACCCUGAUUGCAACCAAGGAGCCUUUGCUUGCGCCAUCCUCAUCACAACUUUAUCUCUCCCCUUUAGCAUUAGCAAGUAUCCUGAAUUGCAUGAAAAUCAUUUCCUUGCAUUAUUUUAAAAUUUUACUACCCACAUGUAUUUCUAAGCAAUAUUGCCUGUUUUUGACCUUUAUACAGUAAAGUCAUCUCAAAAGUCAACAAUGGAAAAACAGAAAUAUCUAAUUAGAAAACGGACAAAAUAAGUUAAGAUAUUUCACUGAAGAGGAUAUAGAGAUUACCAAUAAGCAUAUGAAAAGGUGUUCAACAUCACUAACCAAUAGGGAAUUAAAAAUUAAGUCCAUUAUGAGAUAUCAUUACACAACUAUUAGAAUAGCUAAAACUUAAAAAGUAGUGACUAGCAAAUUUGAGUGAAGAUGUUUAUAAACUGGAUCUCUCAUAUUUUAUAGGUUCAAAUGUAAAGUAAUACAGCUUAUCAAUUUAUUAAAAAUUAAACAUACUCUUAUACAACCCAGCAAUUGUACUACAUUUAUUCCAGGAGAAUGAAAACUUAUAUCCACACGAAAACCUGUACAUGAUUGCUCACAGUAGCUUUGUUACCGCCCAAAACUGAAAACAAUCUGGAUAUCAUUCAAAGUGUGAAUAAUUAAAUAAAAUAUGGUAUAUUCAUACCAUAGAAUACUACUCAGUAGUAGAAAGGAAUAAACUACAACAACUUGGAUGGAUCUUAAAUGUAUUGGGCUGAGUGAAAAAGCCAAUUUCUAAAGGUUAUAUGCUAUUUAUAUUACAUUCUCAAAAAUGACAAAAUAAUAUACAUAAAAUACAGAUUAAUAGCCACCAAGGAUUAGGGAUAAUAGAAGGGAUAGAAAUGAGUGUGACUUUAAGGGAGUAGUAUGAGGAAGAUCUUUGUGGUGAUGGAAUGGUUCUGUAUCUUUGAUUGUAGUAAUUAUUACACAACUGUAAAUGACAUAGAAAUAUAUACCUACAUCAUACUAAUGUUAACUUCUGAGUUUUGAUGUUGUACUACAGUAAUGUAAGAUGUAAUAAAAAUUGAG
rnacentral:lncRNA from 10 species